rnacentral:lncRNA from 1 species
ACGAGAUCUCUUCUGUGUGACUGUAAGCUCCCAAAGGGCAAGGAUUAGAAAUUAUGUACGUCUCAGCUCCACAGCAGCGCCUGGUGCGUGGUCUGGAGUGCGUGCCUGCUCCUGAUAUUCAAUAUUUUGCAGGAGGAGUGUUUUGGCGGCUUUUUUAGGGUCAUGGGUCUCUCC